AAGGUUGAGAUUCCAUUUCUCAAGUAGGGAAGUGCAGAUUGGGAGGUGCUGACUAAUGCAGAUGUGAUCAGUGGCGAAGCCAGAAGAUUUGAGGAGUCCGGGCAAUUCUCAUUAAACAAAAAUAUUUAACUAUAAAAUCACAGAAUUCUAUAUAAAUAUAAAGAAGAUUUCUUUUGCAUUUUGGCGAGGAGCCCGGCUGCCCGCCCGGGGUGGCCGGGCGGUGGCUCCGCCAGUGGAUGUGAUGCAUAAAAAGAUAAAAACAUAGCUGUGUAUUUUCUUGCAAAUAAACUGGUGGUGGGGCUGUGGGUUGCAAAUGAACACAAACACUAUACUUGGCUUUUCAGAAUACAUAAAUAACCUAUUUUAGGAAGACAUUAUUGCUUAAUGAAUGAUACUUAAAUUGUUCAUGAGAAAAUCUACAUGAGAUUUCAGAUUGCUGAGGGUGUAUCCUAGAAUCUGUGGAGCCCCUCUGGUUGUGCAGCCUCUCCGGUGGCGGUGCCCCCUCCAUCUUCCAUACCAGACGCGGGCUCGAGCUUGUUUUUCAACGGGCUGAAGUGAAACCCGGUGAGGCCAUACAUUUACCAACCCGCGCCCCAGCAGGCAUUCCUCUGUUGCUCAAUGCACGCGCAUCAGUCAGGUCAAUCUUCAUCAAGCAAGCUACGACUACGGUUGCCCAUCAACGAGAUCACCUCCAAGAUGCAGGCCAUGUACUGAGAAAAAAUAUGAAGCUCAUGUACAGAAAAGAUGUGGAAAUGUGUGUUUUCCUAGGGACUAAAUGUAUAGUGUUUUGCUCUAGAAAACUGCAGAUAUAAAUGUGUUUUUUUUCUGAAUACAUUACUCUUUUGUGAACGUAUAAUACAUGCAGUCCCUAAAAGCAUAUGUCUGGCUUGAUUUGUUUUCCUCC